rnacentral:rRNA from 1 species
GACGAACGCUGGCGGCGUGCCUAACACAUGCAAGUCGAGCGAAUGAAGUUCCUUCGGGAACGGAUUUAGCGGCGGACGGGUGAGUAACACGUGGGCAACCUACCUCAUAGAGGGGAAUAGCCUUCCGAAAGGGAGAUUAAUACCGCAUAAGAUUGUAGUACCGCAUGGUACAGCAAUUAAAGGAGCAAUCCGCUAUGAGAUGGGCCCGCGGCGCAUUAGCUAGUUGGUGAGGUAACGGCUCACCAAGGUGACGAUACGUAGCCGACCUGAGAGGGUGAUCGGCCACAUUGGGACUGAGACACGGCCCAGACUCCUACGGGAGGCAGCAGUGGGGAAUAUUGCACAAUGGGGGAAACCCUGAUGCAGCAACGCCGCGUGAGUGAUGACGGCCUUCGGGUUGUAGAGCUCUGUCUUCAGGGACGAUAAUGACGGUACCUGAGGAGGAAGCCACGGCUAACUACGUGCCAGCCGCCGCCGUAAAAC